ACUGUAGGGUCAAAGUGCUUACAGUGCAGGUAGUUCUGUGUAUUGUCUACUGCAGUGAAGGCACUUCAAGCUCUACAUU
rnacentral:pre_miRNA from 1 species